rnacentral:rRNA from 1 species
CGACGUGACUGUGAAUCAUCGAAUCUUUGAACACACUUGGCACCUGGAGAAGAUCCAGGUAUACCUGUUUGAGCAGAAUAUCCAAUUAUACUUGAGUCUCACAUUUUAGAGUGUGUGAUUUGAAAAGAGUCUGAGUGGGACGUGCAACCAAUGCGUGUUCUGUGUGAUCGCAAGGCCGUGGUCUUGAUUCACAGAGUGCGUAUUGUCAUUUCACGAACAAUCCUAUUCAAUACCAAAAACUUUCGUACAUUCUCUCUCAAAUCAGGCAAGAUUACCCGCUGAACUUAAGCAUAUCAAUAAGCGGAGG